rnacentral:rRNA from 1 species
AAACUUCGCAAUGUGCGCAAGCACGACGAGGGAAUCCUAAGUGCCUAUGCUUUGCAUAGGCUGUUCUCCUGUCUAAAAAACAGGGGGAGUAAGGACUGGGUAAGACUAGUGCCAGCCGCCGCGGUAAUACUAGCGGUCCAAGUCGCAGCCAUUUUUAUUGGGUCUAAAACAUCCGUAGCUUGUCUAAUAAGUUUCUUGUGAAAUUUUAUAUCUC